rnacentral:rRNA from 1 species
CGAAGGUGGCAAGCGUUACUCGGAAUUACUAGGCGUAAAGCGCAGGUAGGUGGUUUGGUAAGUCUGUAAUGAAAUCUCCCGGCUUAACUGGGAGAGGUUUAUGGAUACUGCUAGACUCGAGUGUGGGAGAGGGUACUGGAAUUCCUGGUGUAGCGGUGAAAUGCGUAGAUAUCAGGAGGAACACCAAUGGCGAAAGCAGGUACCUGGCCCAAUACUGACACUGAGCUGCGAAAGCUAGGGGAGCAAACAGGAUUAGAUACCCUGGUAGUCCUAGCCAUAAACGAUGUAGACCAGAUGUGGGGGGUAUCGACCCCCUCCGUGUCGACGCUAACGCAUUAAGUCUACCGCCUGGGGAGUACGGCCGCAAGGUUG